rnacentral:rRNA from 1 species
GACGAACCGUACGAACGUUAUUCGGAAUCACUGGGCUUAAAGGGGGAGAAGGCUGCGCGGAAAGUUGGGUGUGAAAUCCCUCGGCUCAACCGAGGAACUGCGCCCAAAACUACCGUGCUCGAGGGAGACAGAGGUGAGCGGAACUUAGGGUGGAGCGGUGAAAUGCGUUGAUAUCCUAAGGAACACCCGUGGCGAAAGCGGCUCACUGGGUCUCUUCUGACGCUGAGGCACGAAAGCUAGGGUAGCGAACGGG